GACAGAUUAUUAGACUUGGAAGGGACUAGUGAUUCUAGCCCAUCGCCUCUGUUUUUAUGGAUGAAGCCAUAGGCCCAGAGAGGCAGAGUAACUUACUCAGGGUUACACAGCUUGUUACAGCUAGUUAGUUCGAGAGUUCGGACCUGAAUCUUAGCCUUCAGCUACGUGGUGGUUAUCCUUUUCUAUACCAUAGUUAGCUUCUUUCAGGAGUGCUCAAGAUUACUCUAAAAAAAGAUUCUUAAGUCAAAACAAGACAAAGGAACCUCCAAGAUCCCUCAGAACUUGCUCAUACUGAAGCCUCUUAAGGAAUCUCCCAUGCAAAAACCUUAAUUUACUAUACAGAUCAAUUAGGGUGUAAUUUGUAAUUAUUCAUAAUACAAAAUAAUUAUCUGAUUUACAAAGGACUCCUCUAAAUAGUAGCUCUUUAUUUGUGCUUUACAGAUGCUAACUCAUUAACAUACUGGCUAGGCUGGGUGGUAGAGAGAACUAAGUAAAAGGUUAGGAGACACUACCUGUUGAAGAUCAUUUAGAAUGGAGAUAAGAGGGUAUGAAAUAAUGUUUGUCAAAGAAAGAUUAUCUGAUUUAUAGAGAGAUACCAGUCCACAUGGCAAGGAAUUGUGGCUGCAUCUGCCCACAGCCAUGUGAACAAGCCAUUAUGAAGCGAGUCCUCCAGCCCCAGUCAAACCUUCAGAUAAUGGCAGCCCCAGUCUAAGUCUUGACUGCAACCUCCUGAAAGACUCUGGGCCAGAGCCACCAGUGAGACAAUAAAUGCUGAUUUAAACUGCUAAAUGUUGGGGUAAUUUGUUAGGCAGUAAUAGAUAACUAAUACAAUCCUCCUUCACAUUUGCAGUUUGCCUAUGUGAUAACUUAGGUCUUCACGAUGGCCCAGAGUAAGACGACGCAGGAGGACCCUUCUAGUCAUUUAAUUAUUGCUUGACCAGAACUGUGCCUUGUAAGGUGUUUCCAGACCUAAGAAUAACAGGAACAUGGAGGAGUGGCAUCUCCAGUGUAGCCACCCACCAAAGCCUCAUCCUGAACACUAUGGCCUAGUGGGUCACUUACAGGGAUGUAGCUGGCAUUGAUGUAGUCAGAGCAAGGAUCAUCAUCUACAUUGGAGAGCUUCACUCGCGUGGCAUCAUCUGGAAGGAGAGAUUUGCUGCUGAGUCUUGGAGUGACUUUUCUACAGUUUAUGUGAUGUGUGUGAUGUGCCUUAGCUCUGAUCCCCACAACAGCCACAGAUGGGAAGUGAUCUUAUCUCCAUUUUGCAGAUGAGGCUCAGGCAGGAUAACUAACUUGCCCCAUGUUGCAUAGGUGGCCUAUAACCAGUCAGACACAGGAGACAACAUGAAGCCCCAUCUGUGCUUCCCUUUCUGACAUUACCACAUUUGCCUGAUGGAGUGGCCAGCUCCCUUUCACUGCUGGAAUGAAUACAAUCCAGAAAACCUACCUUCUAUUGCUUUACCUAAUGGGGUAAGGAAAUUUAAGUAGAAAUUGCUAACCGAAGACUUUGCUAAGCAAACCCAGGUCUGCUUGAUGUCAGAGCCCUUGCUGUUAACCCCAUUUACUGCUUAGCCUCCAAAGAGAAGCAAUAGCAUCACAUGGGGAAAUGUCAACAGCAUAAGAGGACUUUCAUAAUCAGAAUUUAAACUGGCUAUUAUCCCUCUGGAGGGAAGUGCAGGAAUAUACAAGCUAUUUCUUAUUAAAGGCAUUCAGAGCUUGAGAUUGUCCAUAUCGAGCUAUAUUAUAUUUCUUUAGCCUCAUUUCAUUUUUGGAGAAAAAUGCAGAAAUGGCUAGAGGAAGACAGUAUUACAAAUUUUGACACAAAACUUACAGGGCAAUAUAUUGUUGUAUCGAUUUUUCCCUCUAUUCUCCGGCAAGAGUGCAAUGUCACAUGACUGGUUUCGGCCCACGUCUUUUAACUCCUGUUAGGUCAAAUAUGAGUUUGUAAGUGGAGAAUAUGAAAUAGAAUAAAGCAAAUCAUACAGUCCUGGAGAUAACAUAAUAACAUGAAAAUAUAUACACUAGCUAUUGUUUAUGAAUGCCUAGUACUCAACAUGCAUUAGCCCUGAUCCCCACAACAGCCCCACAAGGGAGGUGGUGGUCUCACUAUUUUACAGGUGAGGCUCAGUCAGGAUAACUGAUGUGCCCCAGGUCACCCAAGUGGCAAACCUGAGAAUCAGUUCCAAAAGCUACGUGCUUUUUGCGAAACCACGGCAUCUUCCAGCCAAGCAAAUGGCCAGGCUGAAUAUCUGACAGCUUUAGGUCUGCAUUUGAGAUUUGUUAAUUCUUCCUUACUAUCUGAUCCAGGUAGCCCUUGGUUUGCUGUGUUAUUCUGGAGCUCAAGCUGGCCUCUAAGAUUAGAUGGUAUAUUCUAUUCAGGGCAUAGUUUAGGCAUAAAAGAGUGCUCAGCUGAGAUUCUAA
rnacentral:lncRNA from 10 species